AGCGAACGCUGGCGGCGUGCCUAACACAUGCAAGUCGCGGGAGAGGAGGAGCUUCGCUCUCUUAGUAAACCGGCGCACGGGUGAGUAACACGUAGGUAACCUGCCCUCGAGCCCGGGAUAACCUAUCGAAAGAUGGGCUAAUACCGGAUAAGACCACGUCGGUCACGGCCGAUGGGGUAAAAGAUGGCCUCUGCAUGCAAGCUAUCACUCGUCGAUGGGCCUGCGCGCCAUUAGCUAGUUGGUGAGGUAACGGCUCACCAAGGCGACGAUGGCUAGUUGGUCUGAGAGGAUGACCAGCCACACUGGGACUGAGACACGGCCCAGACUCCUACGGGAGGCAGCAGUGGGGAAUAUUGCGCAAUGGGGGAAACCCUGACGCAGCGACGCCGCGUGGGUGAUGAAGGCCUUCGGGUCGUAAAGCCCUGUUGGAGGGGAAGAAUGGUCGUCGGGUAAACAAUCCGAUGGCUUGACGGUACCCUUAGAGGAAGCACCGGCUAACUCCGUG
rnacentral:rRNA from 1 species